UUACGCACUCCCCACCACCGUACGUUACCAGCGGCAAGGGCGCUCUUGACUCCGACGUCCGCAUCGUACCCGGUGAAUCUCACUUCGAUUGCCAUUGUGGUCGGUAGUUAACCGAAAUUGUUCGUGUUUUUUGCUGUUCUACUCCCAAUCGUUUCCACUGCGAAAAUAUGGCUGAGCAGAAGGGCAAUGAUAGUAUCCCGGAGUGUGAGGUUUGUGAAGGCUGUGAGAAUCCAGAUUGUCAGAGAGACAAGCUGGAACAAGUCAAGUCAUUAUUUGUAGCCGCUGAGAGGCAGAUGGCCAUUCAAAAAGCUCGAUUCAUCGCUAUUCAGAG